rfam:Schistosoma haematobium scaffold101_17, whole genome shotgun sequence.
AUUCAGCUGACGAGUUCCAAAUAGGAUGACACGUGCGUCUUGGAU